UACGUAGGGUGCAAGCGUUAAUCGGAAUUACUGGGCGUAAAGCGUGCGCAGGCGGUUUUGUAAGUUUGUCGUGAAAGCCCCGGGCUCAACCCGGGAAUUGCGAUGAAGACUGCAAGGCUUGAAUCUGGCAGAGGGGGGUAGAAUUCCACGUGUAGCAGUGAAAUGCGUAGAGAUGUGGAGGAACACCGAUGGCGAAGGCAGCCCCCUGGGUCAAGAUUGACGCUCAUGCACGAAAGCGUGGGGAGCAAACAGG
rnacentral:rRNA from 1 species